AUUAUACAUGAUUCUCAAUCAUGUGGUUCAGUCUCUAAUUUGAGUUCGGACCUUGAUGAGACCUUGAUUCCCAGGCUUGAGCUAUCGCCCCAUUAAAUAGUGUCAGUUACACUAUAUACACUUUCUGGUUGGAACCGAAUAGAGUUCAUAAAUGAACUUUCCCAUCCAAACAACAUUGUUGUAAGCUUCCAUAUGGCAAUAUAUUUUGCAUUCAUAAU
rnacentral:lncRNA from 1 species